rnacentral:rRNA from 1 species
GACGGAGGAUGCAAGCGUUAUCCGGAAUGAUCGGGCGUAAAGCGUCCGCAGGUGGCAGUUCAAGUCUGCUGUCAAAGACCGGGGCUUAACUUCGGAAAGGCAGUGGAAACUGAACAGCUAGAGUAUGGUAGGGGCAGAGGGAAUUCCUGGUGUAGCGGUGAAAUGCGUAGAGAUCAGGAAGAACAUCGGUGGCGAAGGCGCUCUGCUGGACCAUAACUGACACUCAGGGACGAAAGCUAGGGGAGCGAAUGGG